rnacentral:other from 1 species
GGGUUCCUGCCGUGCGCGUGUAGGUCGGUAGUUCCGAGCCAACACCGAUUACACCGGGAGCCCGGUCUCCAGGCGUGGAUGGCACGCCCCGUAUUUCGGGGACACCAGAAGCGAAUGGGAGGGCACCCACCUGCUUAGGCAGGUUCGGGACUGCUGCCUUACGGCACGGCGGGGUAAAU